rnacentral:rRNA from 1 species
UACAGAGGGUGCGAGCGUUGUCCGGAAUCACUGGGCGUAAAGGGCGCGUAGGUGGCGCUGCAAGUCGGUGGUGAAAGCUCGUCGCUUAACGGCGAGUCGGCCAUCGAAACUGCAGGGCUCGAGCACUGUAGGGGCUAAUGGAAUUCCUGGUGUAGCGGUGAAAUGCGCAGAUAUCGGGAAGAACACCCGUGGCGAAGGCGGCUCUCUGGGACGGUACUGACGCUGAGACGCGAAAGCGUGGGGAGCGAACAGG